UGCCAGCCGCCGCGGUAAUACGGAGGGCGCAAGCGUUGUUCGGAAUCAUUGGGCGUAAAGCGCGUGUAGGCGGCUUGGCAAGUCGGACGUGAAAGCCCGGGGCUCAACCCCGGAACUGCGCUCGAAACUGCCUCGCUAGAGUCCCGGAGAGGAGGGCGGAAUUCCCGGUGUAGAGGUGAAAUUCGUAGAUAUCGGGAGGAACACCAGCGGCGAAGGCGGCCCUCUGGACGGUGACUGACGCUCAGACGCGAAAGCGUGGGGAGCAAACAGGAUUAGAUA
rnacentral:rRNA from 1 species